GCAAAGGCCUAAAAACGGUCCUGGCCAGCGGAAGGCGGCAAGAGGAGCAGCAAGGCUCCACGCGAGGCGGCCGGCGGCUGGAGUCCCAGUCAGCCUCCGCUUUCAUCCCAGAGCAGUCCACGGGGGCCUUAAAGGAAUGUAGGCUGGGUGAAGUUGGCCCAGUGACACCUGCGUUCAGAAAAACGUUCUUUCCGCUCCCAACGCCCCCUCUCCACCGCCACCCGACCCCCGAAAUAGUUUUCCCCGAGUGUUGUGGAUAGAACUGUUGAUCUCUUGGAAAAGUUAUUGUAUCCUGCCAUCCUUCCCUCUGGAGACUCCACUUAAUAUAUAUAAAGUUUCAGGAAAAUCAACCUUUAAAAGGAGUGAAAUUCUGACAUUUGCUGCCACAUGGAUGAAUCUUGAUGAUGAUAUGCUGAGUGAUAUAUAAUCAGUCACGGAAGGACAAAUACUGCAUGAUUCAAUUUAUAUCAGGUACCUAGAGUAGCCAAAUUCAUAGAGACAAAGUAGAAUGGUGGUUGCUACGGGCUGAGAGGAGGAGGGAAUUGAGAGUUGUUUAAUGGGUGAUGGAAAAGUUUUGUAGAUAGGAUGGUUGCACUGAAU
rnacentral:lncRNA from 10 species